ACCUAUAAUGUUAUAUAAACUAUAUUUGAAAACUCUCUAAGAUUAUAUUUUAAGCAUAAUAUUACUAUUAUUUAAUUUAAGUUAUUUUAAGCAUAAUAUAUGCUAAACUAACUUAAAUUAUAUUUACAAUAGGACCAUCCUAAACCUGUUAAUAAACCAAAAACAAUACUAAACCAACAUGAACCAAUACCUGAUUCGGCGUGGAAUGAAGUGUUUCGGGAUAAAUGCUUGAAUGGUUAUUAACUGUAAUAGUUUGAUCAUGAAAUAGUUAGUAUGAAUAUUAACAAUAAAAUGAUGGAUUAGAUUAAUUUAAAUUUGUAAGAAUACCUUUGAGUCUAUGAAAAGCAAUUCAAUUCCCAUGAAUAAGUUUGGCUUUUGGAAGUUAUGGGUUUCCCAACAAUGAAUCCACCUAACAAAAAGUUCGUUGUUAUAAAAAAUCUCCUUCAAAGUCAUUAAGGGUUUUUGGGACGGUAAUAGUUGAUGGUAGAACCAUUUUUUUGCUCGAGUGCUUUGAAGUUUUCCUUGAUAGUGUGAGGUUGAUAUUGAUGGAAUAAUGAGUUUUAUAUGGACUUUCUUGACUCCCUCUGUUUCAAAAUACAUGAAGUUUUAGGUUGGGACACAAAUAUUAAAAAACUUGUUUUUUAUCUAAAAAGUAUCACUAAAAUAUAAAUUAAAAAUUAUUUAACCAAUCACAAAACAUACUAGAAAAUAUAAUUGGUUACACAGUUUUUGAUAAAGUUAAAAGAUACCUUGAAAUAUGAAAACAUCAUCUAUUUUGAAAC
rnacentral:lncRNA from 1 species